rnacentral:rRNA from 1 species
AUUGAACGCUGGCGGCAGGCCUAACACAUGCAAGUCGAGCGGAUGAAGGGAGCUUGCUCCUGGAUUCAGCGGCGGACGGGUGAGUAAUGCCUAGGAAUCUGCCUGGUAGUGGGGGAUAACGUCCGGAAACGGGCGCUAAUACCGCAUACGUCCUGAGGGAGAAAGUGGGGGAUCUUCGGACCUCAAGCUAUCAGAUGAGCCUAGGUCGGAUUAGCUAGUUGGUGGGGUAAAGGCCUACCAAGGCGACGAUCCGUAACUGGUCUGAGAGGAUGAUCAGGCACACUGGAACUGAGACACGGUCCAGACUCCUACGGGAGGCAGCAGUGGGGAAUAUUGGACAAUGGGCGAAAGCCUGAUCCAGCCAUGCCGCGUGUGUGAAGAAGGUCUUCGGAGUGUAAAGCACUUUAAGUUGGGAGGAAGGGCAGUAAGUUAAUACCUUGCUGUUUUGACGUUACCAACAGAAUAAGCACCGGCUAACUUCGUG